UGUGGCCAAGUCUUUUGUUCCCUUCAAGUACACCGUGUUUGGUGCUAUGCAGCAGGUUGUUUCUUCCGACCCACGCUGUUCCCUACAGCCUGCUUCUACCUCCAGUUUCUCUUUGUCAUGAGUUCCUACUUUGGGGAAAGUUGGUUGUCACUCUUACCACUACAUUCUUCCUGGUAUAGUAUUGGUCAGACAGGCCCCUUUCUGAUUGCUAUCUUUCCAGGAAGGACAACAGAGCUGACCUUGGAGGACAUGGGCCAGGAGAUCUAAGAUGAGAUUCCCAGGACUGCUACCUAGGGCCAACGAACCUGCUGGCUCCCAUGACGGCUGUCUGGAAAGUCAGUGCCCAGGCGCCAAAUCCAGAGGUGCGCUUUGUACUUGGAGAGACAGAAUGGCCAGCCACCUCGAGGCUUCAGGAGCUGGAUCAGUGCACAGCAGCCUCCAACUGGCAAGAGUUAAUGCUAAGGUGCAGCUGCAGGAAUGUGAAGCUGGAGAGCUAGCUCGGGGAAUUGCUAUUGCAAUCAGAGGACAGCCCAAGUCAGAGUUCCAAAACCCUUUGAAGGGCUGCCAGCUCGGACACAUGUCUCCAAUUAUCAUAUGCAAUCUUGAGGCAGUGUGCAAGCUGCACUUUCAUUAUGUCAAAGUGAAAGGAGUGGUGAGGGAGAGAUAAAGUGGGGAGAGGCCGCCAGGCCGGAGACUGCUUCGCUGUGGCACCAAAUGUCAGCCCGGGUGCAGAGUGAGCCUCCAACGUAUGUCUGUCCGGGAGCCCGAGGUGUGUGGCUCCUACUCUGAGAGCCUUUGUUUUCUUUCUUUCAUUCUGAGGAUGGAGGAGAACCAGCUGACAGCCACAGGAGGCCCUGUCUCUAGGAAACUUGACCAUCUCUUUGGUAUUGGAUCUGACCACAGAUAAGAUUCUGUGGAAACUUCCCAGGGACAUCCACUGUGUCCAGCCACAGGCUUUCAGGAGAAAGACCUUUAGAACCUAUCUCUUCACAAGAGGGGCCUGGGACUUCUGAGGCCAUGGAAUAGGAACCCUGCAAAACCCACAGACACCGGCUAGUGGGAGGACUCCCUUUAUCUGACAAAGCAUCUCAGCACGGAAUGUUCUGGGACAAAAUUGAGGCUUGAGGGAAGCAACCACAACAACAAAAAAAACAAGAUGAAGGGGAUGGUGACUACAUCCUGCUCUGUGGAGGAUUCUGCAGUCUCUCUGUUACCUUUGCUGCUCUUAAGACAGUGGUCAUGAGUACAUUCUGUCUGUUUCCUUUCCUAUUUAGAGGAAAGGAAAGCAGCUGUGCCCACCUGACUUGGCCCCUCUCCCCUCCAUCUUCCUGGGCUUAUUUGUGUUAGUCUUACUAUGUUUGUCUUUAUCUGUUCUAUAGCAACCCUCGUCUCUACAGGUCUUAAUGGUCCCAGCUAGUUCUGGUCACUUGUGGAAAACGUCUCAGGAAGAAUAAAAAGUUUUCAAAAGUUCACUUCUGACUGGUUACUGACUUUCUAGUUGGAAGCAGAUGCUGGGGUACUAGGCCACUGACAGUUGCUGCUAGAGCUGUUUGUGGGUGGCAAGAAGUUUGGAAGCCUUACUGUUUUCUUGGGGUAGGGAUGCCUUUCUACAGGAAGCCACAGGGGAAUAAUGGAGAGGCAGCCAUCAUUGUUAAGGUAAUCUUAACAUGAAAUCAGAUAUGCCAUGACAGGCCUCAGGAGAUGAUUUUGUUACAGCUCCUUCAGACUGCC
ensembl:lncRNA